GCCAGUAUGGUACAGUGAUUUGAAUGUUGGACUAUGACUCUGGAGACCAAGGUUCGAAUCCCUGCUCAGCCA